GGACGACGCUGGCGGUGUGCUUAACACAUGCAAGUGGUGCGACGAACCAGAGCUUGCUCUGGGGCAAAGCCGCGAACGGGUGAGUAACACGUGGGUAAUCUACCCCGAUGACCGGGACAACCCGAGGAAACUCGGGCUAAUACCGGAUGUGGUACGGAGACAUAAGUCUCUUUACUAAAGGUAGCUUCGGCUUCCGCAUUGGGAGGGGCCCGCGGCCCAUUAGCUAGUUGGUGGGGUCAAGGCCUACCAAGGCAACGAUGGGUAGCUGGUCUGAGAGGACGAUCAGCCACACUGGGACUGAGACACGGCCCAGACUCCUACGGGAGGCAGCAGUGGGGAAUCUUGCGCAAUGCGCGAAAGCGUGACGCAGCAACACCGCGUGAGGGAAGACGGCCUUAGGGUUGUAAACCUCUUUCAGAUGGGACGAAGGUGAUGCGGUGAAUAGCCGAUGUCAUUGACGGUACCGUCAGAAGAAGCUCCGGCUAACUACGUG
rnacentral:rRNA from 1 species